rnacentral:rRNA from 1 species
AGAGAUGUGGGGGUGCUUGAAAGAGAGCCGUAACACAGGUGCUGCAUGGCUGUCGUCAGCUCGUGUCGUGAGAUGUUGGGUUAAGUCCCGCAACGAGCGCAACCCUUGUCCCUAGUUGCUACGCAAGGGCACUCUAGGGAGACUGCCGGUGACAAACCGGAGGAAGGUGGGGAUGACGUCAAGUCCUCAUGGCCCUUAUGGGUAGGGCUUCACACGUCAUACAAUGGCCGGUACAGAGGGUUGCCAAAGCGCGAGCUGGAGCCAAUCCCCAUAAAAGCCGGUCGUAGUCCGGAUUGCAGUCUGCAACUCGACUGCAUGAAGUCGGAAUCGCUAGUAAUCGCGGAUCAGCAUGUCGCGGUGAAUACGUUCCCGGGUCUUGUACACACCGCCCGUCACACCAUGGGAGCGGGAUGUACCAGAAGUAGGUAGGCUAACCGCAAGGGGGCCGCUUACCACGGUGCGUUUCGUGACUGGGGUGAAGUCGUAACAAGGUAACCGUAA